rnacentral:rRNA from 1 species
AUUGAACGCUGGCGGCAUGCCUUACACAUGCAAGUCGAACGGCAGCGCGGGGCAACCUGGCGGCGAGUGGCGAACGGGUGAGUAAAAUAUCGGAACAUACCCUAGAGUGGGGGAUAACGUAGCGAAAGUUACGCUAAUACCGCAUACGCACUAAGGUGGAAAGUGGGGGAUCUUCGGACCUCAUGCUCAUGGAGUGGCCGAUAUCUGAUUAGCUAGUUGGUGAGGUAAAGGCUCACCAAGGCGACGAUCAGUAGCUGGUUUGAGAGAACGACCAGCCACACUGGAACUGAGACACGGUCCAGACUCCUACGGGAGGCAGCAGUGGGGAAUUUUGGACAAUGGGGGGCAACCCUGAUCCAGCAAUGCCGCGUGAGUGAAGAAGGCCUUCGGGUUGUAACCGCUUUGUCAGGAGAAAGGUUACUGGAUAAUACCUGGACGUCAUGACGGUACCUGAAGAAUAAG